UACAAGAUAACUCCAAUAUUAGGUUUAAGAUCUGUUAUUGAAGUUUAUCUUUAAAUAUAUAAUAUAUUUUCGUUAUAUUAAUUUGAUUUCAAUCGGACUUUGAGCUUGUGAUCUUUCAACACUUCUAUAGUUAUAUUAGUGACUACUUGUAUUGGUAUGUUUACGAUACUAUGUUAAGAAUACAUGUUGAUAUUAAUAAAGCAGAAACUGUGGGUUGAUUACCCUUGUUUAAGUCAAUCAAUUAGACAUUUCCAUUA
rnacentral:lncRNA from 1 species